GUCUAUGGCCAUACCACCCUGAACACGCCCGAUCUCGUCUGAUCUCGGAAGCUAAGCAGCGUCGGGCCUGGUUAGUACUUGGAUGGGAGGAUUCUUGUCUCUAAGGACC
rnacentral:rRNA from 1 species